UACGAGAGGUCCAAACGUUAUUCGGAAUCACUGGGCUUAAAGAGUUCGUAGGCGGCGCGGAAAGUGGGGUGUGAAAGCCCUCGGCUCAACCGAGGAAUUGCGCUCCAAACUGCCGUGCUUGAGGGACCUAGAGGUGAGCGGAACUGAUGGUGGAGCGGUGAAAUGCGUUGAUAUCAUCAGGAACACCGGAGGCGAAGGCGGCUCACUGGGGGUCUUCUGACGCUGAGGAACGAAAGCCAGGGGAGCGAACGGG
rnacentral:rRNA from 1 species